rnacentral:rRNA from 1 species
GAUGAACGCUGGCGGCGUGCCUAAUACAUGCAAGUCGAGCGAACAGACGAGGAGCUUGCUCCUCUGACGUUAGCGGCGGACGGGUGAGUAACACGUGGAUAACCUACCUAUAAGACUGGGAUAACUUCGGGAAACCGGCGCUAAUACCGGAUAAUAUAUUGAACCGCAUGGUUCAAUAGUGAAAGACGGUUUUGCUGUCACUUAUAGAUGGAUCCGCGCCGCAUUAGCUAGUUGGUAAGGUAACGGCUUACCAAGGCAACGAUGCGUAGCCGACCUGAGGGGGGGGUCGGCGACACUGGAACUGAGACGGGGUCCAGACUCCUACGGGAGGCAGCAGUAGGGAAUCGUCCGCAAUGGGCGGAAGCCUGACAGAGCAACGCCGCGUGAGUGAUGAAGGUCUUCGGAGCGUAAAACUCUGUUAUUAGGGAAGAACAAAUGUGGAAGUAACUAUGCACGUCGUGACGGUACCGAGUCAGAAAGCCACGGCUAACUACGUG